GAUAAACGCUGGCGGCGUGCCUAAUACAUGCAAGUCGAGCGAACGGACGAGAAGCUUGCUUCUCUGAUGUUAGCGGCGGACGGGUGAGUAACACGUGGAUAACCUACCUAUAAGACUGGGAUAACUUCGGGAAACCGGAGCUAAUACCGGAUAAUAUUUUGAACCGCAUGGUUCAAAAGUGAAAGACGGUCUUGCUGUCACUUAUAGAUGGAUCCGCGCUGCAUUAGCUAGUUGGUAAGGUAACGGCUUACCAAGGCAACGAUGCAUAGCCGACCUGAGAGGGUGAUCGGCCACACUGGAACUGAGACACGGUCCAGACUCCUACGGGAGGCAGCAGUAGGGAAUCUUCCGCAAUGGGCGAAAGCCUGACGGAGCAACGCCGCGUGAGUGAUGAAGGUCUUCGGAUCGUAAAACUCUGUUAUUAGGGAAGAACAUAUGUGUAAGUAACUGUGCACAUCUUGACGGUACCUAAUCAGAAAGCCACGGCUAACUACGUGCCAGCAGCCGCGGUAAUACGUAGGUGGCAAGCGUUAUCCGGAAUUAUUGGGCGUAAAGCGCGCGUAGGCGGUUUUUUAAGUCUGAUGUGAAAGCCCACGGCUCAACCGUGGAGGGUCAUUGGAAACUGGAAAACUUGAGUGCAGAAGAGGAAAGUGGAAUUCCAUGUGUAGCGGUGAAAUGCGCAGAGAUAUGGAGGAACACCAGUGGCGAAGGCGACUUUCUGGUCUGUAACUGACGCUGAUGUGCGAAAGCGUGGGGAUCAAACAGGAUUAGAUACCCUGGUAGUCCACGCCGUAAACGAUGAGUGCUAAGUGUUAGGGGGUUUCCGCCCCUUAGUGCUGCAGCUAACGCAUUAAGCACUCCGCCUGGGGAGUACGACCGCAAGGUUGAAACUCAAAGGAAUUGACGGGGACCCGCACAAGCGGUGGAGCAUGUGGUUUAAUUCGAAGCAACGCGAAGAACCUUACCAAAUCUUGACAUCCUUUGACAACUCUAGAGAUAGAGCCUUCCCCUUCGGGGGACAAAGUGACAGGUGGUGCGUGGUUGUCGUCAGCUCGUGUCGUGAGAUGUUGGGUUAAGUCCCGCAACGAGCGCAACCCUUAAGCUUAGUUGCCAUCAUUAAGUUGGGCACUCUAAGUUGACUGCCGGUGACAAACCGGAGGAAGGUGGGGAUGACGUCAAAUCAUCAUGCCCCUUAUGAUUUGGGCUACACACGUGCAACAAUGGACAAUACAAAGGGCAGCGAAACCGCGAGGUCAAGCAAAUCCCAUAAAGUUGUUCUCAGUUCGGAUUGUAGUCUGCAACUCGACUACAUGAAGCUGGAAUCGCUAGUAAUCGUAGAUCAGCAUGCUACGGUGAAUACGUUCCCGGGUCU
rnacentral:rRNA from 1 species